rnacentral:tRNA from 1 species
GCGGGCGUGGUGUAGUGGUUAACAUGCGUCCCUGUCACGGACGAGAUCGCCGGUUCAAAUCCGGUCGCCCGCG